UAUUAAAAUUAAUAAUAGUAAGAUCUGCUCAAUGAAAAUUAAAUAGCCGCAACACGUGCUAAGGUAGUAUAAUAACUUGUCUUUUAAUUAAAGACAAAACAAAAGAUUUAACAUUUUAAGACAUGUAAACAAUUACAUAUUUAAAUUAUUUUAGUUUUUUAAAAAAAAACUAUACAAAAAAAAGACGACAAGACCCUAUUGAACUUAACUUUAGUUCAACUGGGGCAGUUGAUUAAAAAUAUCUUAAUUACAUUUUAACAAAAUAUGACCUAAUCCAAUUAAUUAAAAAAUCAAGUUACCAUAGGGAUAACAGCGUAAUAAUUAUCUAAAGCUCUCAUACAAAAAAUAGAUUGCGACCUCGAUGUUGAAUUAAUAAUCUAAUUUGCGCAAUAGCAAAAAAAGAAAGUCUGUUCGACUUUUAAAAAAUUACAUGAUC
rnacentral:rRNA from 1 species